ACAAUCUGGUAAAUAGUUGCUUCGAAAAGUGAGAGAGAAGAUCUAGGAAACCCUAGAAGCAAAUAAAUGCCAUUUCGAUUGAAGAAAUCAGUGGGGUAAAAAAUGGUCACGAUUAAGAUUAUUGACAAUGAAUGAAUAAGGGAUUUGAUUACAAGGUGGGAAACAGGGUGGGUUCCAGAGCUAUUUGAGUCUCUGAGGGAGAGAGUGCAAAAGGUCAGGAGAGGAAGCAAGGACUUACAAUGAUGAAAACGCUGAGAAUCGGGA
rnacentral:misc_RNA from 1 species